rnacentral:rRNA from 1 species
GGAGGAAAGUAGGGGAUCGAAAGACCUUAUGCUUUUGGAGCGGCCGAUGUCUGAUUAGCUAGUUGGUAAGGUAAUGGCUUACCAAGGCGACGAUCAGUAGUUGGUCUGAGAGGACGGCCAGCCACACUGGGACUGAGACACGGCCCAGACUCCUACGGGAGGCAGCAGUGGGGAAUUUUGGACAAUGGGCGCAAGCCUGAUCCAGCAAUGCCGCGUGAGUGAAGAAGGCCUUCGGGUUGUAAAGCUCUUUCAGUCGAGAAGAAAAGGUUGUGACUAAUAAUUGCAAUUUAUGACGGUAUCGACAGAAGAAGCACCGGCUAACUACGUGCCAGCAGCCGCGGUAAUACGUAGGGUGCGAGCGUUAAUCGGAAUUACUGGGCGUAAAGGGUGCGCAGGCGGCUAUGUAAGUCAGACGUGAAAUCCCCGGGCUUAACCUGGGAACUGCGUUUGAAACUACAAAGCUAGA